rnacentral:tRNA from 1 species
GAGAGUAUAGCUCAGUGGUAGAGCACAUGCUUAGCAUGCUCAGGCUCCUGGGUUCACUUCCCAGUGCCUCCA